AUUUCAUUCUCACGUAAAGUAGCAUAAUCCUUUGACAUUCGCUAUGUGGCAGACGGGUAUCACGACUAAGCGGAUGACAAACGGUGUCGGGCAUAAAAUAUGGGAUAUCAUCCCGAGCUAGUUGAAGCCAAAAUCAUGUAAGUAUUAAAAUUGGAAUUUGUUGCUUCAAUUGAUGUCUGAAAUUCUUUACCUCUCUAUCACAACACAUGUAAGGAGCGGUAUAGAUAUGCGAAGCAAUCCGCUAUAAGUGGUUGCAAUGAAGCAAAAGCAAUAAAAUAAUCAACUGAAUGAACCAUUUUCAUCUGAAUAAACAAUAAUAAAAGGAACCCUUUCAAAUCGAGUGUAUGGUAAGAUGUUAAUUAGAUGGAAUAAGCAGCCUCGACACAUUUAAUCGGCGAGAAGAAAACUAGUUUAGCAGUUUACAGUUAUAUAUGAAAUUACUAU